GGGCGGUUAGCUCAGUUGGUAGAGCAUCUCGUUUACACCGAGAGGGUUUCUUCCUGUGCUUGCUGCUCU
rnacentral:tRNA from 1 species